CAAUAGCGUAUAUUAAAGUUGUUGCAGUUAAAAAGCUCGUAGUUGGACUUCCGGUGGCCCAGGUCGGUCUUUAUUGCACUGAAUGGGUCGCCUUCCUCUCGAGGACCAUUGGUGCCCUUAACUGGGUGUCUUUGGGACUCGGGAUCUUUACUUUGAAAAAAUUAGAGUGUUCAAAGCAGGCCUUCGCUUGAAUACUUCAGCAUGGAAUAAUGGAAUAGGACUUUGGUUCUAUUUGUUGGUUUCAGGACCGAGGUAAUGAUUAAUAGGGACAGUCGGGGGCAUUAGUAUUUAGUUGUCAGAGGUGAAAUUCUUGGAUUUACGAAAGACUAACUUCUGCGAAAGCAUUUGCCAAGGAUGUUUUCAUUAA
rnacentral:rRNA from 1 species